GGUAUAGACCCGAAACCCGGUGAUCUAGCCAUGGGCAGGUUGAAGGUUGGGUAACACUAACUGGAGGACCGAACCGACUAAUGUUGAAAAAUUAGCGGAUGACCUGUGGCUGGGGGUGAAAGGCCAAUCAAACCGGGAGAUAGCUGGUUCUCCCCGAAAGCUAUUUAGGUAGCGCCUCGUGAAUUCAUCUCCGGGGGUAGAGCACUGUUUCGGCUAGGGGGCCAUCCCGGCUUACCAACCCGAUGCAAACUGCGAAUACCGGAGAAUGUUAUCACGGGAGACACACGGCGGGUGCUAACGUCCGUCGUGAAGAGGGAAACAACCCAGACCGCCAGCUAAGGUCCCAAAGUCAUGGUUAAGUGGGAAACGAUGUGGGAAGGCCCAGACAGCCAGGAUGUUGGCUUAGAAGCAGCCAUCAUUUAAAGAAAGCGUAAUAGCUCACUGGUCGAGUCGGCCUGCGCGGAAGAUGUAACGGGGCUAAACCAUGCACCGAAGCUGCGGCAGCGACACUCAGGUGUUGUUGGGUAGGGGAGCGUUCUGUAAGCCUGUGAAGGUGUGUCGUGAGGCAUGCUGG
rnacentral:rRNA from 1 species